rnacentral:lncRNA from 1 species
AGUCGUGUGCUGAGUUCCUCUGCCUCCCCGGGACGGAUUGGAAAUGACAGCUCGUAUUUUAAAAAAUGACUGCGCCGUCUCCAACACGGAGAGGCCCCUCCGUUGGGUUAUGAAAGUCGAUUAGGUGACAAUUUUUCAUCACGUUUUCAUAUAGUGACAUUCCUUGAGGAUUAUCAGUGACUUGGUGCUUUCUCCUUGGCUGCUGCAGAGGGGGAAGGCCCAGAGGUGUGCUAAGCACCGCUGUGCUCCCAGGGGGCAAUGCAAGUCACAGCUGUGCUCAUUUCCCCCCCCACCCCCAGAAUACGUUUCUUACGAUAUGCAAAUUACCAUAAAUCGUCGUAGGGCGUUAACGAACCCUUUUGCUGCCUAUUAGUUCGUUCUCACCACGUUAGCUUUAAUUAAACUGUGCUUUCUUAGAGCUUAAAGGAAUCUCUCGGGCUGGUUAGGAGCAGGUUUAAGGGCACUGGAGGGGCAGUGCUGCAGGAGUGCUCCUAUGGGCUGUGAUGGCAGGAGUGGUUAUGCUGCUUUUGUUCAUAAUGAAGUUGUCCCCCUUAGCGACAACACGCCCGUAGCACCGUGUGCUUAACGUGCAACUUGUGCUUCUCCCCUUUCUCUCCCGAUGUUUCUUGAGGAAUGUAAAUGGGGCACUCAGAGCCACUCUUUAAUUGAGGUAAUUUUACAGGGGUCAUGCGAAGGUUGCCGGAUUGACUGGAGGACCGAGCAGUGCCCGGCCAGAGGUGCCCGUUAGCAUUUGCAGGCUUUGAUUUGGAAAUCUCGAAUACAUCGCCCCUGAUUAGAGGAACAGUGUCUGAAAAACUGCGGAAGAUUUCUCCGGGGAACCAUCGGGCUUCAAGGAGAAGAAAUAUUUGCUGGUGGUAAUUAUAUAUUAGCUUUAAGACAACCAAAUUAU